AGGCAGGCGCUCAAGUUUUAAAGGUUAAGAGUGAAAAACAAGAAAACCGAAGUCCGUGCUGAAGCAUGCAGGACACCGGCUCUCCGCUGCUUGCUGUGAACGGCACGGGGAGCAUCCGCUUCUGGCUCUCUCUGCAGAGAGAACAAGUUUCUAGUGGAGGCCGCUGCCCUCACCACCUUCGCUGAACUUCCCUUACACCAGGCAACAUGUAGGAUGCUACAGCCGUGAGCAGGCAAUGGGCGAAGGGGGCAGGUUUUCCACUGCUCUCGCAAUGAAAUCCUAAGGCAUCUACACAGCCUGAAAAUCUUCAAGCUAAAAGUGGAAUAAAAAAAUGGUUGGAGAGCAGAGCAUGGGGUGUUUGCCUGAUCCCAGAAGUCAGAUACACCAGAAGAGGGCAUCGGAUCCCAUUUCAGAUGGCUGUGAGCCACCACGUGGUUGUUGGAAUUGAACUCAGGACCUCUGGAAGAGCAGUCAGUGCUCCUAACCACUGAGCCAUCUCUCCAGUCCUGUGGUGCAUUUCCUUAACUGAGACUGAUGUGUCCAACUCACUGUGAGCCCGACCUCUGGGCAGGUCGUCCUGGGCGCUAUAAGGAAGCAGGCUAAGUAACCCAUGGGAGCAAGCCGGUGAGCGAGCGGCACACUCCACAGCACCCGCAUCAGCUCCUGCCUGGACUCCUGUCCUCAUGGGGGACUGUGAUGUGGAAUUGUAAGCUUGAAUAAACCCUUUCCUCCCCAG
rnacentral:lncRNA from 1 species